rnacentral:piRNA from 1 species
UAUAAAGGAUUUACUCUUUAACAGUACAAG